rnacentral:piRNA from 1 species
UACAGAACUGAAAAUUUCUUUGUCUAGGGC